ACAUCUGCUCUCUUUGCCUAUUCAAAUGAAGAAAAACACUUAGAUUCCUCUUCAUCUUCUUCACAAAGACCAGUUCAGAAUGAUAAGACUGUGAUUACCCCGACGGCACCUACAGUAACCUCAUUAUUCUUAGACCAGAUCCUCUGGGGUAAAGCCAGGAUUGUUCCACUUACAGCAUUUCCAUUCAGUAAGAGCCACCUCCUACACACAGUGUCAUCAUGUUAUUCUUCCAAGGACUGGGUCCAAAAUAAAAGAAAAUGUUGUCUGCCUUCUCUCUAUCAAGGACACAACUCCUGUAUUCUGUGUUUCACCUGGCUGCCUUUCAGUUGCCCCUUUUUUGAAUCCCACUAUUAGAAUUUUAGUUUCCUCUUUGCCUCGUCAUAUCAACACCAUUUGUCUCUGAUCCUUAUUUGUCCCCUUCCCUUUCCCUCCUCUUCCUCUGACAUGUUCCUGUCCAUAGUUUCUCCACCACUCUCUUUCUCCCUUUCUCCUUCCCUCCAGCCACUUCCAUCUCUCUCACUCCUCUUAGCUCAGUCCCACACAAACCUCCAAACUCCUAACAAAGAACCCUUGAAUUUAAAUGAGUAUAUGAUUAUCUAGUGGGACCAUUGACACAUACACUCAGCAAACUAAUUACCAUGUGUAACUAUAGUCUUCAUUCAUCUGACCAUUUAGUUACUGAUUUUUUGUGGCUGUCAUUCACUGUGUUUUACCAUAGCACAAGUGUACUAUUGGGCCUAGUCUUUAUUGUGGUCAUAUUACCAUUGUAAUUCCACUAAGGAUUUACCACAGCACUACAUACUUCCUAUCCCAUCCUUUUUAGGUCGCCAGUACAGUGUUUUCAGGGAAGUGGGGCAUGGAGGGAUGUGACUUGAGCAGAAACAGUCAUUAGGGGCUGCCAGCAACUGGUAUGACUCAGAGCUGUUCUACGCUAGACCCAGGAGCACUCCAGCAAAAAAA